ACACAUGCAGUCGAGCGGUAACAGGAAGGAAGCUUGCUUUCUUUGCUGACGAGCGGCGGACGGGUGAGUAAUGCCUGGGAAAUUGCCCUGAUGUGGGGGAUAACCAUUGGAAACGAUGGCUAAUACCGCAUGAUGCCUACGGGCCAAAGAGGGGGACCUUCGGGCCUCUCGCGUCAGGAUAUGCCUAGGUGGGAUUAGCUAGUUGGUGAGGUAAUGGCUCACCAAGGCGACGAUCCCUAGCUGGUCUGAGAGGAUGAUCAGCCACACUGGAACUGAGACACGGUCCAGACUCCUACGGGAGGCAGCAGUGGGGAAUAUUGCACAAUGGGCGCAAGCCUGAUGCAGCCAUGCCGCGUGUAUGAAGAAGGCCUUCGGGUUGUAAAGUACUUUCAGUCGUGAGGAAGGGGGUAUCGUUAAUAGCGGUAUUCUUUGACGUUAGCGACAGAAGAAGCACCGGCUAACUCCGUGCCAGCAGCCGCGGUAAUACGGAGGGUGCGAGCGUUAAUCGGAAUUACUGGGCGUAAAGCGCAUGCAGGUGGUUUGUUAAGUCAGAUGUGAAAGCCCGGGGCUCAACCUCGGAGUUGCAUUUGAAACUGGCAGGCUAGAGUACUGUAGAGGGGGGUAGAAUUUCAGGUGUAGCGGUGAAAUGCGUAGAGAUCUGAAGGAAUACCGGUGGCGAAAGCGGCCCCCUGGACAGAUACUGACACUCAGAUGCGAAAGCGUGGGGAGCAAACAGGAUUAGAUACCCUGGUAGUCCACGCUGUAAAC
rnacentral:rRNA from 1 species